CCACAGGGACCAAAAAUCCUCUCUGAAGGAACAAAGCACUCAAAAUCGUCACAAAAGUGUAAGGAACCUCUAAGGUGUUUCUAUUUUAGAGGCUCAUCUGCCCAUCUGUCACAUGGAGGGCUGUCAUCUUGAUACAAAUACUAGAGUGUGACAAAUGUCACAGGGUAAGAGCAGGUUUCCCUUGAAUGGUGAAGACAGAGCUUUCUUCUGCAAAAACAGAUAUGUUCAAGCAGCUGGGUGGCUGCAGGAGGUGCUCACGGUAGACCUGAGGAGAUGAUGGGGGCAAGAAGCUUUUGGCCUUCUCUUCCCUGCACCCCCCGCCAUAGUCAAGUCAAGUGGGACGACUCAGCUGUAGCCAUUCCCUGGCAGCUUGAGCACUGGAACAGCCUCUCUUGCCAGCCUGCAAGGUGA
rnacentral:lncRNA from 12 species